rnacentral:rRNA from 1 species
UACGUAGGGUGCAAGCGUUAAUCGGAAUUACUGGGCGUAAAGCGUGCGCAGGCGGUUUUGUAAGUCUGACGUGAAAUCCCCGGGCUCAACCUGGGAAUUGCGUUGGAGACUGCAAGGCUAGAAUCUGGCAGAGGGGGGUAGAAUUCCACGUGUAGCAGUGAAAUGCGUAGAGAUGUGGAGGAACACCGAUGGCGAAGGCAGCCCCCUGGGUCAUGAUUGACGCUCAUGCACGAAAGCGUGGGGAGCAAACAGG